GUGCUCACGCCAGCAGACAGGUACCAAAAUGAGAAUGAUGCAGAGAAGGUUUGUGUAGCCCUGGGGCAAGGAGGACACCCAAAUGAAUGAAGCUGUCCAUAUUUUA
rnacentral:snRNA from 1 species